rnacentral:lncRNA from 1 species
AAAGAAUUUAAGUAGGACUGAAAAAGAACCUCACCGGUUAUAAGGUUAUGCUAAGUCCUUGCAACUAGAAGGAUGAUCCCUGGACCAGUAGCAUCACUCAGGCAUAUAUUAGAAAUGCAGAAUCUUGGGUCUCAUUCCAUAUCUCCUGAAAUCAAACCUUCAUCUUAACAAGCUCCUCCAGGGAAGAAUCACUAAUCUAAUUUUUAUUUUAUUAUGAUUUUUUUUUUUCUUUUUAGGGCCAUACCUGCAGCAUAUGGAAGUUCCUGGGCUAAGAGGCAAAUCUGACCUGCAGCUGCCAACCUACACCACAGCCAUAGCAAUGGGAUAUCCAAGACACAUCUUUGACCUACACCACAGCUUGUAGCAACACCAGAUCCUUAACCUACCGAGUGAGGUCAGGGAUCAAACCUGAAUCCCCAUGGACAUUACAUCACGUUCCCAAUCCACUGAGGCACAAUGGGAACUCCCGGAACCACUAAUCUAGAUCCAGGUUUUGAAACAUCAGCUUGCAGGUUCUUGUGCCGCAUCCCAAACCUGCUAAAUAAAUAUCUCUAGAUUUUGUUCGACAAAUGCUCUCAAUUGCUUUGGGUGAGCAGUCAGAUUCAGAUCUGGCAGUCAAUGUUCGGGUGAGGAACAUUUAGGAGUCCCCUCCAUCUCUGACACUGGGUAAUUGUAGGUCACCCCUUUUCAUCUUCCAGGUGGGAUCCAAGUCUGAAUGGUCAGAGGAGUGAUUUCCCAGUCACCUACUGCUCACAUGAGCAUUAUGUACGGAGGUGGCCCUGACAAGGUCUGUAUGUCCCAUUGCUAGCAGGGCCUAGAUCAUGAAGCCAGGGCCUUUAUUUUAUCAAACACCACAUCUAAAAAUAGAACAUACAUCCUUCAGAUGCUCACUCUUCUGACAAGGCAGGGAAAUGGAGCCCUGAUAUAAUGGACUCACUAUGGCUUCAUCUGGGUUCACAGGUGUCCUCUUCCCCCUGCUCCCUGAGGUGGAGAGAUGCUACCCACAAACCACAGGCACAAAUGGACCUGCUAUUUCUCCUUCAGAAUGCUCACCCCAUUAGGCUGAAGCUAAAGGCUGUCUGGCCUGCCUCUUAGAUCUUACUCCAUGUCAAAUUAGACCCUCACACUGGAAACUCCAUGCUACUUUCAAGAAACAAUAAAUCUGAAAUGCUCCACUGUGCAUUUCUGUCUGUUCCUUUCUUUUUGUAAAUAAAAUCUUAAAAUUUACUCAGAACUGCUGAUUGCUAGCACGUAGUCAUAUCUGCUUCAAGUAUUCCUUAAUGGAAAAAACUCAUGCCAUGUCUCAGACGCCAGACACUCCUCUUGCCUUGCUCCCUCUCACCCAGACACCUGCCACGGCCUCCCCAUCCUUCUUGCUGCCCAGUUCUCACCUGCUUUUCAUACAUUCUCCAGGAAUCUGUUCACAUCCUUCCAAUGCUCAAAUCAGUAGAUAUUAAAUUCAAUGGUAUUAAAUGCAGCUAGAAACUAUAAACAGCCAGCUAAUCCUAUAAUUACUUUCUCAUAUGGCUCAACCAUAUACCCACAGGCAGGCCUGUGGCCAUUCUGUUCAGAGCUUCAGUCCCAGACUCUAGCAAAGUACACCCAGGGUGCCAUGUAAAUAUUUUUGAGUGGAUCAAUGUGUGAAUAGCUGAAUGAAUAAGUUUAAAAAUGGAUGGAUAACCUAAAGGAAAUUAGGAAGAGAAACCUUUUGAGAAGAGAACCACCAGAUAUUUCCAAGAGCCAAGUAGGAACACUGCAAAUACAAUAGGACCAGAUUCUGAAGCCAGACUUCCUAGAUUUGAAUCUGGGCUCUUCUACUCUUAAAGUCAUUUUGCCCCCAUUUCCUCUUCUUAAAAAAGUGAUAAUAGGAGUACUUUCCUUAGAGAGCUGCUCUGACAAUUAAAUGGGUUUGUAUAUCUAAGGACUUCAUAACAUGUACAUAAUUAGCACUGUAUGCAAAUUCACUGUGCUAUUUUAUUAUCUGGGCAUCUCUUCUGCUUGUAUUUACAGAGAUAAUGGGUACUGAUCUCUUACGUUGCCUGUGAGGGAAUCACAGAGUGUGUCAACUGUCAAAUGCCACCUGGCUCUUAAGGACAGAGCAGCACCUUGGCGAAUGCACACAAUGCUGGUGUUUGGCAACUGAAAAACGAGAAGAAAUGCUUAAAAAGAAAAAAAAAAAAGUCAGUCACAUAAUGAGUAUGUAAAAUCAUACGUGUGGAUGAAAAGAAAAUCUGCUCAUGGGCAACAGGACAAAUGACCGAAAAGUCUCAUGAGUUUUCAGUUUUGUUAAUAUUCUCUUAGGGCGAUUCUGAGCUCCACAAGAGUCUGGUGAUCUCACACAACCCUGAGCCGGGGGUCCUGAGGUGGGGCUGGGAGAACUCUGACACAGGAGGUCGUGGCUGCCCCUUUACCCAGGACACGCCCUCAUCCCUCCAGGAAACGUUGGGCGACGGGGCCCCGCAUCAAUCAUAACUUCUCCUUCACAGAUUUCAGUUUCUGCCUAAUGUGUUUUUCUGGGUCUAGAUGCUAUGAUAAAUGUGAAGAAUGAGUGAGUGAAAAAGAGGUGUUUAUCAGGAAAACUUAACUAGAGAAUAAGCAGUUGUCAAGAGUCAGCCAUCCCCUCACUACGAUGAACUAGAAUCAAUACUCUAACUGGACUCAAAUAAAUUAGCACAAUAUCUCCAUAGACGCAGUGUCUCCCAUCAGGAAAUCAUCUUAACGCAAUGAAAAAAAAAAAAAAGAUUAAUUUUAUUGCCAAGGGAAAUAUCCUUAAAUUCCAGCAUGAAGACUAUAUUUUCACAGGGGACACAUAACUUUUUCUAUUAGCUGAAGCUCUUCCAAUACAAUAUUCUACUAUUGCCUUUGAAGGAAAAUGAAUACAUUCUCAUUAAAUUUCUGUUUACUUGGAAUGUAAGAUGUGGGCAGAGAGAAAGAAUUUUUAGGCAGGUGUUCACCAUAAGAAAACCGCGCUCUUAUUCUCCAAUGACCGUUCCAGGCUCCUGUGGCCAAUAAUGCCUUUAGUUAAACCCAUUCUUAGAAAACAGCUAUCGAAACACAUUAGCAGAGUAAGUUGCUGGCUGUCUCUCCACCAUGU